AUUGAACGCUGGCGGCAGGCCUAACACAUGCAAGUCGAACGAGUGGCGGACGGGUGAGUAAUGUAUGGGAAACUGCCCGAUGGAGGGGGAUAACUACUGGAAACAGUAGCUAAUACCGCAUACUAUCGGAUGUGCCCAGAUGGGAUUAGCUAGUAGGUGGGGUAACGGCUCACCUAGGCGACGAUCCCUAGCUGGUCUGAGAGGAUGAGCAGCCACACUGGGACUGAGACACGGCCCAGACUCCUACGGGAGGCAGCAGUGGGGAAUAUUGCACAAUGGGCGAAAGCCUGAUGCAGCCAUGCCGCGUGUAUGAAGAAGGCCUUCGGGUUGUAAAGUACUUUCAGCGGGGAGGCGUUACUCGCAGAAGAAGCACCGGCUAACUCCGUGCCAGCAGCCGCGGUAAUUC
rnacentral:rRNA from 1 species